CUUCCGUAGGUGAACCUGCGGAAGGAUCAUUAACGAAUAACUAUGGUGUCUUGGUUGUCGCUGGCUCCUCGGAGCAUCGUGCACGCCCGCCAUUUUUAUCUAUCCACCUGUGCACCGAAUGUAGGUCUGGAUGACUCUCGCCUUCGGGCGGAUGCGAGGUUUGCGUUUCGCGUGCGAGCGCUCUCCUCGAAUUUCCAGGCUCUACGUCUCUUUACACACCCCAAACGUAUGAUGCAGAAUGUAGUCAAUGGGCCUUUACAAGCCUAUAAAACACUAUACAACUUUCAGCAACGGAUCUCUUGGCUCUCGCAUCGAUGAAGAACGCAGCGAAAUGCGAUAAGUAAUGUGAAUUGCAGAAUUCAGUGAAUCAUCGAAUCUUUGAACGCACCUUGCGCUCCUUGGUAUUCCGAGGAGCAUGCCUGUUUGAGUGUCAUUAAAUUCUCAACCUCACCGGUUUUCUGAACCGUUCUCCGAGGCUUGGAUGUGGGGGUUUGUGCAGGUCGCCUCAGCGCGGUCUGCUCCCCUGAAAUGCAUUAGCGAGAUUCAUUCUGGACCUCCGUCUAUCGGUGUGAUAAUUAUCUACGUCGUUGACUUGGUUCGGACUCGCUUCUAACCGUCCGCGAGGACAACAUUACUUGACAAUUUGACCUCAAAUCAGGUAGGACUACCCGCUGAACUUAAGCAUAUCAAUAAGCGGAGGAAGG
rnacentral:rRNA from 1 species